GUGGGGAAUAUUGGACAAUGGGCGAAAGCCUGAUCCAGCAAUGCCGCGUGGGUGAAGAAGGUCUUCGGAUUGUAAAGCCCUUUCGACGGGGACGAUGAUGACGGUACCCGUAGAAGAAGCCCCGGCUAACUUCGUGCCAGCAGCCGCGGUAAUACGAAGGGGGCUAGCGUUGCUCGGAUUGACUGGGCGUAAAGGGCGCGUAGGCGGUUCGUACAGUCAGACGUGAAAUUCCUGGGCUCAACCUGGGGGCUGCGUUUGAUACGUGCGGACUUGAGUGCGGAAGAGGGUCGUGGAAUUCCCAGUGUAGAGGUGAAAUUCGUAGAUAUUGGGAAGAACACCGGUGGCGAAGGCGGCGACCUGGUCCGAUACUGACGCUGAGGCGCGAAAGCGUGGGGAGCAAACAGGAUUAGAAACCCUAGUAGUCC
rnacentral:rRNA from 1 species